rnacentral:rRNA from 1 species
GGACUACCAGGGUUUCUAAUCCUGUUUGCUCCCCACGCUUUCGUGCCCUCAGCGUCAAUGCUGGCCCAGGGGGCUGCCUUCGCCAUCGGUGUUCCUCCACAUCUCUACGCAUUUCACUGCUACACGUGGAAUUCCACCCCCCUCUGCCACAUUCAAGUGCCCUAGUUUCCACUGCCGUUCCCAGGUUAAGCCCGGGGCUUUCACAACGGACUUGUGAGCACCGCCUACGCACCCUUUACGCCCAGUAAUUCCGAUUAACGCUCGCACCCUACGUAUUACCGCGGCUGCUGGCAC